AAUAAGUGAAGCUUUUAUGUCUGACGACGUUUGACCGUUUAUCUUAUUUGAAAACUUUUUACGAUUAAUAUUUUUAUUGUUAUUAGAUGAUAAAACAUGAAUAGUACUUUACGUGCGACUAACUUUUUUAAAUUUUCUCAUAAAUUUUUCAAAUAAAACGGACAGUCAAACGUUGAACACGGAUUCCCACGACCACUUAUU
rnacentral:pre_miRNA from 1 species